UGUUGAGUCUGCCGAUAAGGAUACAGUGAUUGACAGAGUCAAAACCCUUGGCCAGGUCGAUGAAUACGGCUGCACAGUAAUGUCUUUUAUCAAUGGUGUUUAUGAUAUCGUUUAGGACCUUGAGCGUGGCUGAGGUGCACCCAUGACCAGCUCUGAAACCAGAUUGCAUAGCGGAGAAGGUACGGUGGGAUUCGAAAUGGUCGGUAAUCUGUUUGUUAACUUGGCUUUCGAAGACCUUAGAAAGGCAGGGUAGUAUAGAUAUAGGUCUGUAGCAGUUUGGGUCUAGAGUGUCACCCCCUUUGAGAGGGGGAUGACCGCGGCAGCUUUCCAAUCUUUGGGGAUCUCAGACGAUACGAAACAGAGGUUGAAUAGGCUGGUAAUAGGGGUUGCAACAAUGAUGGCAGAUAAUUUUAGAAAGAAAGGGUCCAGAUUGUCUAGCCUGGCUGAUUUGUACGGGUCCAGGUUUUGCAGCUCUUUCAGAACAUCUGCUAUCUGGAUUUGGGUAAAGGAGAAGCUGGGGAGGCUUGGGUAAGUAGCUGUCGGUGGUACGGAGCUGUUGGCCGGGGUUGGGGUAGCCAGGGUUGAGGUAGCCAGGGUUGGGGUAGCCAGGGUUGGGGUAGCCAGGGUUGAGGUAGCCAGGGUUGGGGUAGCCAGGGUUGGGGUAGCCAGGGUUGGGGUAGCCAGGGUUGAGGUAGCCAGGGUUGAGGUAGCCAGGGUUGAGGUAGCCAGGGUUGAGGUAGCCAGGGUUGAGGUAGCCAGGGUUGAGGUAGCCAGGGUUGAGGUAGCCAGGGUUGAGGUAGCCAGGGUUGAGGUAGCCAGGGUUGAGGUAGCCAGGGUUGAGGUAGCCAGGGUUGGGGUAGCCAGGGUUGGGGUAGCCAGGGUUGAGGUAGCCAGGGUUGAGGUAGCCAGGGUUGGGGUAGCCAGGGUUGAGGUAGCCAGGGUUGGGGUAGCCAGGGUUGAGGUAGCCAGGGUUGAGGUAGCCAGGGUUGAGGUAGCCAGGGUUGAGGUAGCCAGGGUUGGGGUAGCCAGGGUUGAGGUAGCCAGGGUUGGGGUAGCCAGGGUUGAGGUAGCCAGGGUUGGGGUAGCCAGGGUUGGGGUAGCCAGGGUUGAGGUAGCCAGGGUUGGGGUAGCCAGGGUUGAGGUAGCCAGGGUUGAGGUAGCCAGGGUUGGGGUAGCCAGGGUUGAGGUAGCCAGGGUUGGGGUAGCCAGGGUUGAGGUAGCCAGGGUUGAGGUAGCCAGGGUUGAGGUAGCCAGGGUUGGGGUAGCCAGGGUUGAGGUAGCCAGGGUUGAGGUAGCCAGGAGAAAAGCAUGGUCAGCCGUAGAGAAAUGCUUAUUGAACUUAUUGAACUUCUCGAUUAUCGUGGAUUUAUCGGUGGUGACAGUGUUUCCUAUCUUCAGUGCAGUGGGCAGCUGGGAGGAGGUGCUCUUAUUCUCCAUGGACUUUACAGUGUCCCAAAACCUUUUGGAGUUAGAGCUACAGGAUGCAAAUGUCUAACAACUAGUAAAGGGCUUAAUUAUCAGGUAUCAGAUGUGGUCACGGGAUGUUUCCAAGAGUUUCCAAAGUGUCUGUAAAGUAGAUCAUUCCAGUGCUAUUAUAUAUUGUGGUGGUGUCGGGAGACAUACAGGGGAAGCGUUUGUUUUUCAACCUCUCUAAAGUGCCUGAACGUUUAGCAUAUCCAAUGUAUUGGUCACACAUACAAAUAACCUGUUUACAAAAACAAUAUAAAAACAACAGAUGUACAUAAAGAUAUAUAUAUAAAAACACAAACUUGGUUACACACGUGUCCUUCACUGAAACAGGUGCACCAAUAGGAAGAAGCUGAACUAUUUACAAAAUGGCGUCUGGCUCCUUUUACAUCUCAGGUGUAGAUGAUUAGAUUUCCCUGUCACCGCAUCUUGUUCAUGUCUUGAUAAUCUUUGAAGCAGCCCCUCUCUGACCAGGAAACAAAAAGCUAG